CUGUUUUCUUAGGUCUUUCUAAUUCCAGUAGUGUGGCCUUGAGCUAAGGUGCAAAGUAAAAGCUGUUUACCAGCAGUGGCCAGACAACCAUAGAGAUGAAUCCACAGAUGAGUGGUUGAAAAUGUUACUUGUCUACUGAUUUCAUCUCACAUCU